AGAGUUUGAUCCUGGCUCAGAUUGAACGCUGGCGGUAUGCCUAACACAUGCAAGUCGAACGAGGUAGUAAUACCUAGUGGCGGACGGGUGAGGAAUACGUAGGGAUCUGCCCUUAAGUGGGGGAUAACCCGGGGAAACCCGGAUUAAUACCGCAUGAUCUCGCAAGAGCAAAGAGGGGGACCGCAAGGCCUCUCGCUUUUGGAGGAACCUACGUCGGAUUAGCUAGUUGGUGAGGUAACGGCUCACCAAGGCGACGAUCCGUAACUGGUCUGAGAGGAUGAUCAGUCACACCGGAACUGAGACACGGUCCGGACUCCUACGGGAGGCAGCAGUGGGGAAUAUUGGACAAUGGGCGAAAGCCUGAUCCAGCAAUACCGCGUGUGUGAAGAAGGCCUUCGGGUUGUAAAGCACUUUAAGUUGGGAAGAAAAAGCUUCACCUAAUACGUGGAGCCUUGACGGUACCGACAGAAUAAGCACCGGCUAACUCUGUGCCAGCAGCCGCGGUAAUACAGAGGGUGCUAGCGUUAAUCGGAUUUACUGGGCGUAAAGCGUGCGUAGGCGGUUUGAUAAGUCGGUUGUGAAAGCCCCGGGCUCAACCUGGGAAUUGCGGCCGAUACUGCCAGACUAGAAAACGGUAGAGGGAGGUGGAACUCCAGGUGUAGCGGUGAAAUGCGUAGAUAUCUGGAAGAACACCGAUGGCGAAGGCAGCCUCCUGGGCCUGUUUUGACGCUGAGGCACGAAAGCGUGGGUAGCAAACAGGAUUAGAUACCCUGGUAGUCG
rnacentral:rRNA from 1 species